UCAGGGUGUUGGGUUCAGUCCCGGGGUGGGGCGGUGGCCUAUACAGGAGCAUGAACAGCGGUGACAGGGUGUCACAGAUACAAACUCCAUCCUACAAGGCGAUGCCCGGCCGCAAGAGGGACAGCCACCGAACCUCACAUGUCCUGAACCGUUUUCAUGUACAGAGCAAAGAUGCACAGCUGCUGAGAAGAACCGCAGAGACAGAACAAAGGUUUGUGCAGUAACAUUGGAGCUUGA